AAUGUCCAACUGACAGCAGCAAAGUGAAGACCUCUCUACCUCCCUCUCCAUUAAUUCCUCACUGGCAUGUUCAGGAUCUUGGCCUCACUCCAGUUCAAGGAGAUUGGAACCACCUGGACCAUCUGGAUAUCCCACAGAAGACCACACUGACCCAUUAUUACACUGAUGAUAUCAUGCUGAUUGGGCAAGACAAGCAAGAGGAAGGAAGGCCCACAGAAGUUGCUGUGUGAACAUGUGUGGAGAUGUGAAUCCAUAUAGCUCAAAGGGUGGACUGUGACACCUAUGAGUCCAUGGAUCAGGAAUUUGGAGUGAGGACAGUUGAGAUGGCUUUUCUCUGCUUUACGCUGUCUGAAACCUCAACUUGGAAGACUCAAACCUCAGAAGGUGUUUUAAACAUACGGAAUCUGGAGAUAUCUGAAGCCUUCUUCAUUCACAUGCAUGGUGUCUGGAUUUGGAUGUGUCAAAAUCUGGGCUAAGUUGUACCUCUUGCCAGAACCUCUACAUAUGGCUUCUUCAUGUGUCUUUUGUUUUCUCAUGGUAUGGUGACAUCAGGGUCAUUGAAUUUCUAUCAUGGGAUUUCAAGGCAUCAAGAGCAAAUGUUUCUGUAAAUCAGGUGAAAGCUUCAAGGCCUUUUUUGACAGCUUCAGAAGUCACACAGUGUCACUUUUGCUGUACUCUAUUAGUCAAAGCAGUAACAAGCCUGUCAAGAUUCAAGGGGGAGGAGAAUUACAGCCCACAUCUCAAUGGGAAGAGUAAUAAUUCACAGCCAUCUUUGUAACCACUGAAAUCAACAGCAUAAUUAUAAAAUCAAUUAAUUUAACUUUGAUACAAUACAGUCAGCUCCCAAGUUCUUCAGUCAGGCUGACCAGGUCUGAAUUCUGUCUCUGCCUCUUAUGAGAUACAUGACAUUUGGCAGGUAACUCUGGUUACCAAAUCCUCAGGUUCUUCAUCUCUAAAUGAGGCCAAUGACACCUAUGUCUUUUAGAGUUGCUUCAAGGGCUAAAUAACAUAAUUACAUGAUGAGUCUGACAUAAAUAGUGGCUUACUAAGCAUUAGGUCUUCCUCCUCAGAGAAAUAAACAUGGUACUGAGUACUCAAAAGGCCUAUAAUUGAUUACGGUUAUUUGGGAAGCUUUAGAGGUGACUGGCUUUCUGAGAAAUAAUGGAGAAAUUCAUUACAAAAUUAAAAUAUUGCCUUACUAAGUUCU